GUCGAAGUGGUGUAGCUGGUCAUCACGUCUGCCCCUUGCCUCUCUAAUCAGUUGUGCUUGUGUUAGGUAUGCCUCGCAUUAGCUGGCACAAGCAUAGCUGAUUACCGAUUGAACGCAGAAAAUCCCGAGUUCGAAUCUCGGCUUCGACG